AAAUUGAAGAGUUUGAUCAUGGCUCAGAUUGAACGCUGGCGGCAGGCCUAACACAUGCAAGUCGAACGGUAACAGGAAACAGCUUGCUGUUUCGCUGACGAGUGGCGGACGGGUGAGUAAUGUCUGGGAAACUGCCUGAUGGAGGGGGAUAACUACUGGAAACGGUAGCUAAUACCGCAUAACGUCGCAAGACCAAAGAGGGGGACCUUCGGGCCUCUUGCCAUCGGAUGUGCCCAGAUGGGAUUAGCUAGUAGGUGGGGUAACGGCUCACCUAGGCGACGAUCCCUAGCUGGUCUGAGAGGAUGACCAGCCACACUGGAACUGAGACACGGUCCAGACUCCUACGGGAGGCAGCAGUGGGGAAUAUUGCACAAUGGGCGCAAGCCUGAUGCAGCCAUGCCGCGUGUAUGAAGAAGGCCUUCGGGUUGUAAAGUACUUUCAGCGGGGAGGAAGGGAGUAAAGUUAAUACCUUUGCUCAUUGACGUUACCCGCAGAAGAAGCACCGGCUAACUCCGUGCCAGCAGCCGCGGUAAUACGGAGGGUGCAAGCGUUAAUCGGAAUUACUGGGCGUAAAGCGCACGCAGGCGGUUUGUUAAGUCAGAUGUGAAAUCCCCGGGCUCAACCUGGGAACUGCAUCUUAUACUGGCAAGCUUGAGUCUCGUAGAGGGGGGUAGAAUUCCAGGUGUAGCGGUGAAAUGCGUAGAGAUCUGGAGGAAUACCGGUGGCGAAGGCGGCCCCCUGGACGAAGACUGACGCUCAGGUGCGAAAGCGUGGGGAGCAAACAGGAUUAGAUACCCUGGUAGUCCACGCUGUAAACGAUGUCGACUUGGAGGUUGUGCCCUUGAGGUGUGGCUUCCGGAGCUAACGCGUUAAGUCGACCGCCUGGGGAGUACGACCGCAAGGUUAAAACUCAAAUGAAUUGACGGGGGCCCGCACAAGCGGUGGAGCAUGUGGUUUAAUUCGAUGCAACGCGAAGAACCUUACCUGGUCUUGACAUCCACGGAAGUUUUCAGAGAUGAGAAUGUGCCUUCGGGAACCGUGAGACAGGUGCUGCAUGGCUGUCGUCAGCUCGUGUUGUGAAAUGUUGGGUUAAGUCCCGCAACGAGCGCAACCCUUAUCCUUUGUUGCCAGCGGUCCGGCCGGGAACUCAAAGGAGACUGCCAGUGAUAAACUGGAGGAAGGUGGGGAUGACGUCAAGUCAUCAUGGCCCUUACGACCAGGGCUACACACGUGCUACAAUGGCGCAUACAAAGAGAAGCGACCUCGCGAGAGCAAGCGGACCUCAUAAAGUGCGUCGUAGUCCGGAUUGGAGUCUGCAACUCGACUCCAUGAAGUCGGAAUCGCUAGUAAUCGUGGAUCAGAAUGCCACGGUGAAUACGUUCCCGGGCCUUGUACACACCGCCCGUCACACCAUGGGAGUGGGUUGCAAAAGAAGUAGGUAGCUUAACCUUCGGGAGGGCGCUUACCACUUUGUGAUUCAUGACUGGGGUGAAGUCGUAACAAGGUAACCGUAGGGGAACCUGCGGUUGGAUCACCUCCUUACCUUAAAGAAGC
rnacentral:rRNA from 2 species